rnacentral:rRNA from 1 species
UACGAAGGGGGCUAGCGUUGCUCGGAAUCACUGGGCGUAAAGGGUGCGUAGGCGGGUCUUUUAAGUCAGGGGUGAAAUCCUGGAGCUCAACUCCAGAACUGCCUUUGAUACUGGGGAUCUUGAGUCCGGGAGAGGUGAGUGGAACUGCGAGUGUAGAGGUGAAAUUCGUAGAUAUUCGCAAGAACACCAGUGGCGAAGGCGGCUCACUGGCCCGGUACUGACGCUGAGGUGCGAAAGCGUGGGGAGCAAACAGG